GGAAGAGAUUUCAUACUUCUUGGUUGCAGGUCAAGGAGGUUCCAGCCACAUCUCCUCCACUUGUGCCUGUGUCCCGUUUUCAUAUCUGUGUACAGCAUAAAAGGGAAGAGAAGAGAAGCCAAAAAUGAAUCUACCACUGUGGUUUUAAGACACUUCUUAGAAAUUUUCUGCUCUCUCAAGACACGCCAUAGAAGCUCGAUUUGGUUCUGUACAAGCAGUCUCCACAUCUGGAAUAGACCGUGUAUUCCGAAAUCUACUUACAAGAUUAUGUAACCUGAUGUGGUAAAGGAGUGAUGGCUGCGUGGAAAGAGCAUCGUGGGAGCACAGACAGCGGAGUGACCAGCCUGGGGGUCAGGAGGCGUCCUGGAGGAGAUGACUCCUAAAUGGAUCUUGGAUGACACGACUUCCGAAGCACAAUGCUGGGAAUGGAACUUAACACUGAAUUAGAAGUCAGAAGACCUGAGUUCUCAUUUCUCCUCUGCCACUGAUGCAAAUGUGUGAUCUUGAACCAGACACUUCCCCUUUUGGAACCUCAAAUUCCUCAUUUGUAAAUGGAAAGAAUGGAAAAUAAAAAUC
rnacentral:lncRNA from 1 species